CAGAUCACAGCCAUGUCAACAGUGGGCGUCAGGCUUGUAAGAGACAUGAAUUAUCUGUGAGAUUCAGUGAACAAGGCUAGAAGGACUGGGUAUUGGCUCCUACGGGUUACUCUGCCUUCUACUGUGAUGGAGAAUGCCUCUACCCUCUGUGUUCCUGCAUGAACUCCACCACCCACACUAUGAUCCAACUAGUGGUUUGUUGAACAUGAGUGGAAAUGAAACUCCAGCACACUGGUAGCACUAAAGAUGUGUGAGUAUAACUUUUCCAGGUGAGUUGAACCUGCCUGUGGGUGCAGUGGGGAUAUUCCUGGGAGGUCUACUGAUGAAGAGGUAUAAGCUUGGCGUUGUGUCUGGAGCCCAGCUGUCUUUCGUCACCUCCUUCAUGGCCUACCUCCUCUGCAGUCUGGCACUAAGUGUGACAACGUUCAGGUGGCUGGUCUGACCUGUCCUACAACGGGUCCCCUGGUGUACGAUGGCAGCCUGUUGUCAGAGUGUAACAGAGACUGCUACUGCUUGGCUGGGGAGUGGGACCCUGAGUGUUCAGACAACGGCAUCACCUACACCUCCCCCUGCCUCGCAGGCUGCUUCAGCUUUACAGGUU